UACGUAGGGUGCAAGCGUUAAUCGGAAUUACUGGGCGUAAAGCGUGCGCAGGCGGUUAUAUAAGACAGAUGUGAAAUCCCCGGGCUCAACCUGGGAACUGCAUUUGUGACUGUAUAGCUAGAGUACGGUAGAGGGGGAUGGAAUUCCGCGUGUAGCAGUGAAAUGCGUAGAUACGCGGAGGAACACCGAUGGCGAAGGCAGUCCCCUGGACCUGUACUGACGCUCAUGCACGAAAGCGUGGGUAGCGAACAGG
rnacentral:rRNA from 1 species